UACGUAGGGUGCGAGCGUUGUCCGGAAUUAUUGGGCGUAAAGAGCUCGUAGGCGGUCUGUCGCGUCGGUCGUGAAAACUUGGGGCUUAACCCUGAGCUUGCGGUCGAUACGGGCAUGACUGGAGUUCGGUAGGGGAGACUGGAAUUCCUGGUGUAGCGGUGAAAUGCGCAGAUAUCAGGAGGAACACCGGUGGCGAAGGCGGGUCUCCGGGCCGAUACUGACGCUGAGGAGCGAAAGCGUGGGGAGCGAACAGG
rnacentral:rRNA from 1 species